UAUUAGUUACACGUGGGACAAAUCCCAUUAUGAGACAUAUCAUCACAACAAGAAUAUUUCAUUCUAGAUUUUAGAAUCCCAGGUUUUGGCUCACUUUGGUCAAGAAAAAUUAUAAAUAAUUGAGUUAGAGAUAAUUAAAUGUUAGCCUCCUGGAGUGCAUGGCAAUUGGUUUUGACCUCUAUAUUAAAAUUCACAAGACCACGGACAUAAGUCAAAACAGGUUCCCUUCGUCUCCCUAGUCACCAUCUCCAGGGCUAAAAAACAGACUUGAAAUGGGUGGCAGUUAGACUACAGGAAACAGGAUCUACAAGCACCAGGAGCUCAUCUAUGGCUAUCUGACAUCGCCUGGGGACACCUCACUCUCUGGCAGGCUCCUGCUGGCUGGAGAUUGUUAACAUCGCCAAUCAGAUGUUAAUUGAAUGCAAAGGAAUAGGAAAUAAAUUCUGGUUCUGAAGGGGCAGCUGGAAAGGUGUUGGGCUUCUCAGAUUCCGACCUACAUUUACAAAGCAGGCCUAAAGCCAAGCAUACUCCUUGCCAGAGGAAACGGAAAGCCCCUCUCCCGUUUUUAGAAUCAGGCUGGAAAACACGGCUCCCAGAAGGUGGGGUUAGAAGACAAGAGCUUGCGAGGCGGCGCCCUGUGGUCCCUCGAGGAAAUAGGAGAGAGACAAAGAGGGCCUGCUCCUGGGAAGCCCUAAAUUCGAAGCCAAUCCUUCCUCCUAGACAUGACCACAACUUUAAAGGGCAGGGCGCACACCUCCCCUCCCGGAUCUCUAGGGCAAAGGCAGGUCGAGGGGCAGCCAAAGAGGCGCAGAGAAGAGUGACAAGGUGCCCAGCAAGCGGCGGGAUCAAAGCCUGGGUCUCUAAUUCCCAGGCUGGAGAUUCUGGGCUGCCUGCUCCUCCUGCACGGGGCGAAAAGCCCACCUGGGAUCCGAGCGGGCGGCCGCGCCACUCUCGCAGGCUCC
rnacentral:lncRNA from 1 species